UCCCAUAUGGCCUAGUGGUUAUGAUUCUUGGUUUUCACCCAAGUGGCCUGGGUUCAAUUCCUGGUAUGGGAA